UAUGGGGUACCUUUACCCCAUGCCAACAAAAAUGGCCAGUCAAUGAAUUGUCUUUGUGUGUAUAUAUCAAAAACGUUUUUUGCAGAACAUGAACAAUAGAAGAGUGUUUCCUUUGAGUAAAAGGCUAAAAAUAUAUAGGUUUUCUUGGAUAUUACCUAUGUUUGUUUUUUGUUUGUUUAAAAAAAAAAAAACAAAAAAAAAACCUAGACCUUAGAGUUAUUUGAGGCUUUUUCAAUUUCCACUUAUUUCUAACAGAUUGUGUUUCAUAUUUUGACUUUCAGUUAAAUUUGUUCUUCUGAAUAAUAACUGCUGGGAAGGCCUGAAAGCAAGAGAGAAGAGAGCUACCAUCUUUUGCACUGUAGUGAUGUCUGCAUUUCACUGGCAAACUGAUUCCCAACUAUGCGUUGUAUUUCCUUUUCUAGAGUUCCAGGACUUACUGGCAUGGUCAACAUUGUAUAAUUGCAAAUCCUUUGGGAAGAUUAUCAGAAAGAUAUAUGUUGUUCCUGAAAUCGUCAGCUGAGUGGCCCCAUCUUCCUCCUUCCUUGCAUGGACUCUCCAAAGACAAAGCACACCAGCAAUGUCAUCUGGGCACAGUUUUCAUGAUAUCCUCCUUUUCUUGCUCCUGAUCCGGGAACUUAUCAGUGAGAGAAUGAUGAAAGUGAAUCCACAGGUAUAAGGCAAUUAGGCAUUUGUGAGGCUGAGAAAAUAGGCUCCUGGACCACGUAUAAGGGUUACUCUAGGCAUCUAAUUUUUCCAACCCAACACAUUGUGGCAUCUUUCCAGUGCUGGGCACAACACUUGCACAUAAAAGUAUUGAGUGUUAAACUUAUAAGGAGAAAAAAAGUGAAUGCCAUCCUACUGUACUCUUUGUCUAUAAUUAAAUGUUUGUGUCAGUGUCUAUAUUUCUGUAAUUAUAUCAUGAAAAAUGUUCCUGUAAUAUAAAAGAUAUUAGGCUAGUUACUGAAAUAACAAAGAAAGGUAAAAGUCAUUUUGUAAGUACCUACAAAAGACAGGCACCGUCCUUGGUGAUUCCUAAACACUUGUUGUCUAAAUUCCUAAGGAUAUUUUUUUUUGCAGCCAACAUUAUCCACAUUUCAUAACAAAAGACCUGAUAUCUGAGUCAGAACUUGGAAGACAAGUUCAAAGCUUAGUCUUCAAAACAUGUGGCAUUCUACCUUUAUCAAGGUGGAAUUAAACAUAAUCCUUGCCCAUUAGGAGCUUAUCCUACUGUGUGGAAUGAUUCCAAUGUCAUGUGGUUUCAAAGUAAUGUAAAACAUUCCUUCAUUCACCCCCUAACUCUGUCUCUUCCCAAUCUCCUUCAUCUCUGUUAAUGCCAACAUUAGACACUAGGUAUGAAAAGAGCCCAUAUUGAUUUCUCUCUUUCUACUUUCAAUUCCAAUCCAUCAGCACACACUGCUGUCUUUAACUCUAAAACAUGUCAUAAAUAUGACCACUACUCAACCUCCCCUAAGACCACCUCAUUCUGAGUCGCCAUUAUUAUUCUCCCAGGAUUACUAUGACAGCCACUAAAUUGAUUUCUUGGGUUCAGUCUUGCUUCCACUACAGCUCACUCUACAAAUAAGACUGUAGUGAUACUGCAAAAAAUAAAACACACCAUGCAAUUCCUUGCUUAACACAUUCCAUUGGCUUUUCAUUGUCAUCAGUAUAAGUGCUUGAUCUUUAUCUUGGACAAAAGAUGUCACAGAGUCUAUCACGUGUCUCUUUUAUC
rnacentral:lncRNA from 1 species